ACAGAGGGUGCAAGCGUUGUUCGGAAUUAUUGGGCGUAAAGCGCGUGUAGGCGGCCAGGCAAGUUGGGUGUGAAAGCCCUCGGCUUGACCGAGGAAGUGCGCCCAAAACUACUUGGCUGGAGUCCCGGAGAGGAUGGCGGAAUUUCCGGUGUAGAGGUGAAAUUCGUAGAUAUUCGGAGGAACACCAGUGGCGAAGGCGGCUCUCUGGUCCGAUACUGACGCUGAGACGCGAAAGCGUGGGGAGCAAACA
rnacentral:rRNA from 1 species